rnacentral:rRNA from 1 species
CCUGGGGGAGCGCCCGCUGUGGGGAAUUCUCCCCAAAGGGACGCAAUUUUGAAGGGAAACACCCCCCGUUGAAAGAAGAAAGCCUUUGGGUUCGAAAAAUUUUGUUUGUGGAGAAGAAUGGUCGGCAGAGUAACUGUUGUCGGCGUGACGGUAUCCAACCAGAAAGCCAGGGCUAACUACGUGCCAGCAGCCGCGGUAAUACGUAGGUGGCAAGCGUUAUCCGGAUUUAUUGGGCGUAAAGCGAGCGCAGGCGGUUUUUUAAGUCUGAUGUGAAAGCCCUCGGCUUAACCGAGGAAGCGCAUCGGAAACUGGGAAACUUGAGUGCAGAAGAGGACAGUGGAACUCCAUGUGUAGCGGUGAAAUGCGUAGAUAUAUGGAAGAACACCAGUGGCGAAGGCGGCUGUCUGGUCUGUAACUGACGCUGAGGCUCGAAAGCAUGGGUAGCGAACAGGAUUAGAUACCCUGGUAGUCCAUGCCGUAAACGAUGAAUGCUAGGUGUUGGAGGGUUUCCGCCCUUCAGUGCCGCAGCUAACGCAUUAAGCAUUCCGCCUGGGGAGUACGACCGCAAGGUUGAAACUCAAAGGAAUUGACGGGGGCCCGCACAAGCGGUGGAGCAUGUGGUUUAAUUCGAAGCAACGCGAAGAACCUUACCAGGUCUUGACAUCUUUUGAUCACCUGAGAGAUCAGGUUUCCCCUUCGGGGGCAAAAUGACAGGUGGUGCAUGGUUGUCGUCAGCUCGUGUCGUGAGAUGUUGGGUUAAGUCCCGCAACGAGCGCAACCCUUAUGACUAGUUGCCAGCAUUUAGUUGGGCACUCUAGUAAGACUGCCGGUGACAAACCGGAGGAAGGUGGGGAUGACGUCAAAUCAUCAUGCCCCUUAUGACCUGGGCUACACACGUGCUACAAUGGAUGGUACAACGAGUUGCGAGACCGCGAGGUCAAGCUAAUCUCUUAAAGCCAUUCUCAGUUCGGACUGUAGGCUGCAACUCGCCUACACGAAGUCGGAAUCGCUAGUAAUCGCGGAUCAGCACGCCGCGGUGAAUACGUUCCCGGGCCUUGUACACACCGCCCGUCACACCAUGAGAGUUUGUAACACCCGAAGCCGGUGGCGUAACCCUUUAGGAGCGAGCCGUCUAAGUGGACAGUUGGCU